rnacentral:rRNA from 1 species
GAUAAACGCUGAAAGCAUCUAAGCGUGAAGCCCCCCUCAAGAUGAGAUUUCCCAUUUCUUCGGAAAGUAAGAUCCCUGAAAGAUGAUCAGGUAGAUAGGUUUGGAGUGGAAGUGUAGCGAUACAUGGAGCGGACAAAUACUAAUCGAUCGAGGACUUAACCAAAA